rnacentral:rRNA from 1 species
UACGGAGGGGGCUAGCGUUGUUCGGAAUUACUGGGCGUAAAGCGCGCGUAGGCGGCUUUGUAAGUUAGAGGUGAAAGCCCAGGGCUUAACCCUGGAAUUGCCUUUAAGACUGCAUCGCUAGAAUCGUGGAGAGGUGAGUGGAAUUCCGAGUGUAGAGGUGAAAUUCGUAGAUAUUCGGAAGAACACCAGUGGCGAAGGCGACUCACUGGACACGUAUUUGACGCUGAGGUGCGAAAAGCGUGGGGGAGCAA